rnacentral:tRNA from 1 species
GGCUGGAUGGCGCAAUUGGCAGCGCGCACGAUUCCAAAUCGUGCGGUUGUGGGUUCGAGUCCCUCUCCACGGUCA